rnacentral:snoRNA from 1 species
UUCCACAGACUUCAUAGAAUCAUUUCUAUAGUAAACGUCCUCUUCUGAGCUCUUCACACGAGCCACAGAAUCCUCAACCUGGCGGACGAAACAAAGCAACUUCAUCCUAGAGUGAAACCGUUUUUACCCUCGACGUUUUUGUUUUCUUCCUUUUUCAUCUUAAGCCAUGUCUCUUCGGAAACUGGUUGUUUUUUGAACUGGUUCGAAACAGAAAGAGGGUGGUGAUGAUCUUUGACCUGCGUUUUUUGGGUUCUGGCUUCGUGCCGCCAUGCGCAGCUGGUGAAGUUGUUGAUUCUGACAGGC